ensembl:lncRNA
GUUGAUACAGGGGAGACAGAUGGACAUCUGUGGAUUAGGUGAAGGAGGGGUUGAGGUCAGGAGGUGAGGACAGAGAUGUGUUGAUACAUGGGGAGACAGAUGGACAUCUGUGGAUUAGGUGAAGGAGGGGUUGAGGUCAGGAGGAGAGGAGAGCGAUGUGUUGAUACAGGGGAGACAUCUGGGUAUUAGAUGAGAGGUUGAGGUCAGGACAGAUUCUCUGAAGAGAGUAAUUUAAUGUUUGGUAUCCUGUUACUCUCUUUAUUAGCUUCCUGUGGAGCCAUGAAAUGUAGGGAUUGGAGAGAAAGGGGAGUGUCUUAAGUAGGAUGUAUAUAAACUGUGAAGUCUGAAAUCUUUAGCUGUCUGAUUUUCUGCUGUACAGAACCUUUGGGAAAUGAUUAAACUUGGUUAAAGCUUC